rnacentral:rRNA from 1 species
GAUGAACGCUAGCGGGAGGCUUAACACAUGCAAGUCGAGGGGCAGCAUAGGGUAGCAAUACUCUGAUGGCGACCGGCAAACGGGUGAGUAACGCGUAUGCAACCUACCCUGUACAGGGGGAUAACCCGGAGAAAUUCGGACUAAUAUCCCGUAAUAAUAUCCGGAGGCAUCUUUGGAUAUUUAAAGUUUCGACGGUACGGGAUGGGCAUGCGUAACAUUAGCUGGUUGGUAAGGUAACGGCUUACCAAGGCUAUGAUGUUUAGGGGUCCUGAGAGGGUGGUCCCCCACACUGGUACUGAGACACGGACCAGACUCCUACGGGAGGCAGCAGUGAGGAAUAUUGGUCAAUGGGCGCAAGCCUGAACCAGCCAUCCCGCGUGCAGGAAGACGGCCCUAUGGGUUGUAAACUGCUUUUCCAGGGAGAGAAACUUACGCACGUGUUGCGUGACUGACGGUACCCUGGAAUAACAUCGGCUAACUCCGUG